rnacentral:rRNA from 1 species
CUACGGGAGGCAGCAGUGGGGAAUAUUGCGCAAUGGGGGAAACCCUGACGCAGUGACGCCGUGUGAGUGAUGAAGGUUUUCGGAUCGUAAAGCUCUGUCAGACGGGAAGAAUAAGAACAGUAAAAAUAUUGCUGUUUGAUGACGGUACCGUCAGAGGAAGCACCGGCUAACUCCGUGCCAGCAGCCGCGGUAAUACGGAGGGUGCAAACGUUGUUCGGAAUUACUGGGCGUAAAGCGCAUGUAGGCGGAUAUGUAGGUCAGAUGUGAAAUCCCUUGGCUCAACCAAGGAAGUGCAUCUGAAACCCCAUACAUUGAGUACGAGAGAGGGAAGUGGAAUUCCCAGUGUAGAGGUGAAAUUCAUAGAUAUUGGGAAGAACACCGGUGGCGAAGGCGGCUUCCUGGCUCGUAACUGACGCUGAGAUGCGAAAGCGUGGGGAGCAAACAGGAUUAGAUACCCCCGUAGUC